rnacentral:tRNA from 1 species
GGGAAGUUGGCUCAGUGGUAGAGUGCUUGUCUUGCAUGCAUGAGGCCCUGGGUUCGAUUCCUCAGAACCA